UUCGGCUUAGAAAUAGUACUAUACAGCUGAAAAUUGUGAAUGACAUUAGAAAGAGGACUAAGAGAGAAGAAACAAAUAACAGAAUGGGUAGAAAGGUCGAGAGAAAAAGGAACGUAUAACGAUGAACCUUGCUAAUUCUCGUUAAGUAUUACUAAUCUCUAUUAGUAAUUCCAUUUAAGGAUUAAAUAAACAGUGCUAUAUUUUUCCCUGCUGAAUCUGCGACCAUUGAGUAAAAUUAGUGUUACGAAGGAGGAUUAACUUGGUUGGAUUUAAUAAACUCUGAAAUCACGUAACAAAAGAUGCGAGAAUUAUCGAGCCCAUUAGGAUGGCGUUGUUGGAUGACAUUUACCCCUGGUGACCGGUAAUAUUGAUGUUAUCGAUGUCAGUAGCAAUGGCAUAGCAACUUCCGCAUGAGCGCAAUAAUCGGUACACAAUUGAAGCGGACAGAGUCCGAAAUUGAUUGAGUUUUGAGUAUCAACAGAUUGACGUGAAUCAAUUAGUUGCCAGUUUGUUAGAAAAUUUGAACACGGAAACAUCCAUCGUUUCUUGAUGAAAGGGGUUACUACAUUCUAAUCUGUCCCUGGAAGUUUUUUCUGAACUUUUUCUCCGAACCAUGCAUCUAAAUUCUCG